UUUAUAAUAGUUUAACAAAAACCUUUCAUUUUCACUGAAAAAAUAUUUUAUAUUAAAAUUUAUAAAA
rnacentral:tRNA from 1 species